UCCCAGACUCCUACGGGAGGCAGCAGUGAGGAAUAUUGGUCAAUGGGCGGAAGCCUGAACCAGCCAAGUCGCGUGAGGGAAGACUGCCCUAUGGGUUGUAAACCUCUUUUGUCAGGGAGCAAUUGGCGCUACGUGUAGCGUUAUCGAGAGUACCUGAAGAAAAAGCAUCGGCUAACUCCGUGCCAGCAGCCGCGGUAAUACGGGGGAUGCGAGCGUUAUCCGGAUUUAUUGGGUUUAAAGGGCGCGCAGGCGGAAGAUCAAGUCAGCGGUAAAAUUGGGAGGCUCAACCUCUGCGAGCCGUUGAAACUGGUUUUCUUGAGUGAGCGAGAAGUAUGCGGAAUGCGUGGUGUAGCGGUGAAAUGCAUAGAUAUCACGCAGAACUCCGAUUGCGAAGGCAGCAUACCGGCGCUCAACUGACGCUCAUGCACGAAAGUGUGGGUAUCGAACAGGAUUAGAUACCCCGGUAU
rnacentral:rRNA from 1 species